UACGUAGGGUGCAAGCGUUAAUCGGAAUUACUGGGCGUAAAGCGUGCGCAGGCGGUGAUGUAAGACAGUUGUGAAAUCCCCGGGCUCAACCUGGGAACUGCAUCUGUGACUGCAUCGCUGGAGUACGGUAGAGGGGGAUGGAAUUCCGCGUGUAGCAGUGAAAUGCGUAGAUAUGCGGAGGAACACCGAUGGCGAAGGCAGGUCUCUGGGCCACUACUGGACG
rnacentral:rRNA from 1 species